AUACAAAUAUACACGUAUAAUAUGACUUGGGUCGGGUCAGCCGGCCCAAGUGUACAAUGUAAUAAAAAUGAAUUGGGCCUGAAUACAUUGGGUCCCAAAGCUGACUAAGCCUAUAAUAUACAGCAUAUACAAGGAAUAUACAACAGAUAUACAAUUCAAUAUCAAUAUUUAUGAUUAGGCUUAGAGGCCAAAUAAUCUUGUAGCUCGACACCCCCCCUCAAGUUGGAGGGGGAGACCACCUUCAACUUGAGCAGCAAAGGAUGGAGGACAGUCCCGGGCAGAGGCUUGGUGAGGAGGUCAGCAAGCUUUCGGGAAGUAAGCACAUGAGAAACCAUAAUGAAACCACCAUUCAGCUGGUCCCGAAUAAAAUGACAAUCCACCUCAAUGUGUUUAGUCUGUUCAUGAAAAACAGGAUUCUUGGCUAUAUGAAUGGCAGCCUGACGGUCACAAAAAACCGAGAAAGGAAGAGUAACUGAAACCCCAAUAUCAGUUAACAAACGAGAAAGCCAAGACAAUUCAGCAACCACCUUACCGAGUGCCCUAUAUUCAGCCUCAGCAGAAGAUAAGGAAACCACAGGUUGCUUCUUGGAUUUCCAACUAAUCAAACAACCACCCAAAAGAACACAAAACCCAGUAACAGAUCUACGGGUAUCAGGGCAGGCAGCCCAGUCACUGUCAGAGUAAGCAGUAACAGAGAAAUCAGAACUAGAAGAGUAGAACAGACCCAAAGAAGAAGUAUAGUAACAGAUCUACGGGUGUCAGGGCAGGAAGCCCAGUCACUGUCAGAAUAAGCAGUAACAGUGAAAUCAGAACUAGAAGAGUAGAACAGACCCAAAGAAGAAGUACCCUUGAGGUAUCGGAGGACAUGGAGAGCAGCAUUCAUAUAGGGACUCGGGGACAUUUUAGAAAUUGACUCAGAUGCUGAACAGCAAAACAGAUGUCAGGCCUAGUGUGAGUCAAAAAU
rnacentral:lncRNA from 1 species